rfam:Callipepla squamata strain Texas jcf7180005233322, whole genome shotgun sequence.
GGCGCCGGUGGUGGCACUCCCACUGGGACGGGGUUCGAGUCCCCGCGGCACC